CCUACGGGUGGCUGCAGUGAGGAAUAUUGGUCAAUGGGCGCGAGCCUGAACCAGCCAAGUCGCGUGAGGGAAGACGGCCCUACGGGUUGUAAACCUCUUUUGCCGGGGAGCAACGUGCGCCACUGUUGGCGCCACUGAGAGUACCCGGAGUAAAAGCAUCGUCUAACUCCGUGCCAGCAGCCGCGGUAAUACGGGGGGUGCGAGCGUUAUCCGGAUUUAUUGGGUUUAAGGGGUGCGUAGGCGGAGCGUUAAGUCAGGGGUAAAAUUGAGGGGCUCAACCCCUUCCCGCCAUUGAAACUGGCGCUCUUGAGUGGAAGAGAAGUAUGCGGAAUGCGUGGUGUAGCGGUGAAAUGCAUAGAUAUCACGCAGAACCCCGAUUGCGAAGGCAGCAUGCCGGCUUCCUACUGACGCUGAAGCACGAAAGCGUGGGGAUCGAACAGGAUUAGAUACCCUUGUAGUC
rnacentral:rRNA from 1 species